ensembl:lncRNA
CCUCUGCAAGCGCUGCAGUCAGUCACCUCUGCAGGAAGCACGUGCUUAGGAAUCAAGCUCAGGUUGCCUGACUCGCACCCUGUGUGAGAGGUCAGUGAGGGCUGCAGCAAAACCUUGCCUCUCUUCAGUGUAUAGGGAAGCACUUCAGUCUCAAAUGCGGGUUAUGUGGCCUUCUUCAUGUGUUUCCUCUGGCUGCUGUCUGUACGAGCUUGUGGUUUGCUGUGGCAUGGAGUAGUUAUGUGAAAGCCAGUGCAACGAGUUGUAAGUGUAUACCAAGGAAUUUGCUUUAAAACAGUCAUCAUAUGUGGUUCUAGGAUGAUACUGUACUGAGGAAAGCUGAGGUUAAUAAGGUCAGCUUUAAUUCGGUAAGAUAGUAUCAAUAAUGGAAAUAGAAUUCAUCUUAAUGUAGGUGCUAAAAGAUUGGCUGUUCCACGAAGAGACAUUCCCUCCAGGACAGCAAAUCUCUUCUUGCUGACGUCUGUGUUAGCACAAGGCAAUGAGACUGUAAAUUUGAUCCCCAGCCUCUCUUGCUCUCUGCUGCUCUCCAGUCUGUUGAGGUAGAGGUCUUUUCUCAUGAACCUCGGGAACAGCAGCUUUAACCCUGCGCACCUGAGCCACCAUAAGCAAGAUGGAAUCUUUCCCCGGUUCUAAGAAAUGGGAAGAGAGGUCGCCUGAAGAGACCUUUUUCCCAAGCAAGAGCAGAAAGCAGGUGCAAGCUGGAAGAACAGGGGAUCCCUCAAGUUAGACUGAAAGUAAAUAUGCCUUUGACAUCUCAGGGCUUCUGCUGCUGGUUUCACAUGAACCCAUGGGAUGGCAGUGUUUGCAGUGCUGCCCAGCUGGAUGAGGUCUCCUCAGUGCGUGCAGGCAGCUGAAAUUCUUGAUUACUUGUUUUCUUCAUGAACCAUUUUCUUCUAAAACUACUGGUAGCAGAGCUAACCAAGACUCCUGAGAACAGCAUUCUUUUUUCAUCAGAAUGGCCUGAAUCAUUAAAUAUAAGCAAGAAAAUGAAUUCAUUUCUGUAAAAACGUCCUUAGUCCCAGAAUGUGUAUGCAUGAAAGGAAGAGGUCUGCCAGACAGGACUGAGAUGCUUAUGCUGAAGGCUGUAACCACACCGAUGAGAGAAGAGUGGUUGAGAUGAUCUGUAGAUGUCAGAGCUGCUUCUUGCUGCAUUGUGAACAAGAUAUCCUGAGCAAAAGGAUUUAUUUUAAAACCUGUCAGAAACAACCUAGGCAAAGCAAAUAGAGAUGUAAGGGCAGAUAGAGUCUUCAUGGCUGAUCUUGAGUCCCAGAAAUCAUACAUCGUGGGAUGCUUAUUUGUAUUUUAGUGCACGGGGGAAGUAUAGAGGAAGAAUUUUUUAUUGAGCUUUUUUCCCGUAGCUGAUCUAUGAACCAGUAUGGAAGCAAGAUGAAAGUAGUCUGAUAUUUCCAUCUGAACUGGAAGGAAAUCCCAUCAAGAAGCAUUUUCUAGUCCUAAUGUAAUGCAGCCUUGCCAGACCUGGCACUUAGGUGGCUCCAAAUCCUUGCACAAAUGCAGAUUUCACAGGGAUGGGAGAAUCAGUACAUCAUCUGCUGUGACUGCAGUCGAAGCCAACUUGGCAAAGUUGUUUCAGUCUGAUUUCAUUCCACUCGGCCACACUCUGAUCAUCAUCCAUUAGUGUGCACUGAGAGCACAUGGGAACAGACAGACCUUGCAGGAACAGACAAACAACAAGCAUAGCAGUCAGUGGAGAAAUCCUCAGUCCCUGUCUAUCACCAGUGCACAUGAAGCUGAUGGAUCACUGACUUGAAGAGCCAGGUGGUAAUACCCCUUGAGGAAGACACUCCCUGGCAACUUGGAAACCUUGACAUCUGGCUAACCUUCAGCUGGUGGGUGUCUGGCAUUCUCCAUUCACUGCCUAAUUCUGCCCCUGAGACCAAGAAACACCGGACACCAUGGAUCACAGAGCCACUGGACCCCGUGAUGGUGCCUGUUCCCUUUGCAAAAUUCUGUGACUGCCUUGAAGCUGUGAUUUGGCACCACAAGCAAAAAAUCUGUGUGGAUAUGAUGCUAUAUAUUUAUCAAUGACAACUGUGAUCUGGAGACUAAGGGCUUUCACAAUGCAACAGUCUUUAUUCUGGAGGAGUUCAAGUCACAGAGAACUGGUUCAUAAGCAAAUGUUUAGUUUGAAAUAUGUCAGUGAAGCAUCCUAAAUUGUGAGAGAUCUCCAAUGUGUUGUUUAUAUAAAGUGAUAUUUUUGUAAACUCCAUUAAGUCUUAUGCUGUUUUUGUGCAGUGCAAUCAGACUAUUCUUUGGGCUGGAGCUGUGUACUGAGAGGGGGAAGGGAGGCAAUUUUCCCUUUACCAUGUAGGGUAGGCAGGAUAUUUGAAAUAGAGCUGGGCCUUUUUGCCAAGUGAUGGUAUGUCUGGUUUAAUGUAGGUCAAUCCUUUUACUAACUUAGGGCUCAUUUGCUUUCAGUGAGUAUGAAAUUGUGCUUUCUUAGUAUUGUUUUGUCUUUUUUACAUUUGUCUGAGAAAAAGCAACAAGUUGAAGAGAAGGUGAUUAGUCAUCAGGAGUUUCAGAUGGCAAACGAGUGCAGGUGUGAGAUGCCUUUAUUUGAGGAUGCUGCAUAAACAUCAUUAAACAUAUGAUAAAAUGGAAAUAAGAGUUUCCCAGUCUGUAUGCGCAAAUGUUUGGCGUGGAGAUUACUGAUGAAGAGUUUGAGCUGCUACUUGACAGAAUCCCCCUUGAUGAAGAUGGAAAUGUCAGAUACCCCCAGUUCAUGGCCAGGUUUGAUUCCUGGUAUGCCGUGUAUGCAUUUUAUUUCUCGUUUGGCCGUCAAAUAGGACACAGGAUUCAUGAGAUGCAUAUGUCCUUCUGGAAUGAUAUCCUCCAGAGGGCCGUGUGGAAUCGUCCUAAUCCGGGAAGAGCCACUGCCUCCCUGUGUGAUCUGACACAGUGACAUAUCACUUGACCUCGGUCGCGGCAGCUGUACAGCGAGGUGGAAAAGGCGGCUGACGGACAAGCAGGGGAUGCCUUUCAGCACAGCUUCCUCGGGGUAAACCACCGGCAAACUCACGGCUUGGCUUCUUUCUCACUCACCCACGAGUUUCAGAUCAAAUUCAGAUACAGUUGAGAAGAAUGUAUGCUAUAUGGAAGAACACGCAGAAGUUGUGAGCAACCACACGGUCUGAAUGUUAAGGGUUCAUCCAUCUUCCUGCACAAGAAUGCCUUUAUCUGGAAAAGACAAACAUCCCAGGAGUCUGUAAGAAGUAAGAAGUAAGCUGUUGCAGCUUGAAUUUGUGAGAGGACUUCUGUGGAGCCUGAACCACCUCCCUCCAUCUCAAAGGAGACCGAGCCUUCCCUCUUUCUUAAAGCAAGGCACCCUGGCGGCCUGCGUAGUAAGAUUGUAGCUCAGCAAGCUCCUGCUUGCAGCAUGUCCCAGCAGGCUGCAGAAGGGGAACGUGGAAAGGCAGACCCACUCCAAGGCUUUUGACUUGCCACACCUUUCCGAGAGGAUGACAUCUCAGAGGCUCUGUGUCUGUCCCAGAUUGUGACUGUUUUCUUCUGAAGAGCAAACGGAUGGAAAGUGCCUGCCAUUUCUCCGGACAAAAGCCUGGAAGGUUUUCAGUUAUUAGCCUUCUGAAGCAGCCCUUUCGCUCACCCAAGCGCAAAAAAAACUCAUUAGGGGGCACCUUUCUUUCUGCCUUCUUCAUCUGAUGCGUGUGGGGUUUACGUGUUUCAAGACUUUCAGGUCUCGGAUGGAUUUGGGCAGCCUCCCUUUUAACCCUGCCGGACUGUGGUUACGCCCUGGGCAGAGAUUGGCUGUAUCUGUGUGCACUGAACCACCUGGAGAUGCUUCGUCCUUUCAGCAGCUGUUUUACGCCCCGCUGGUCUGCUGUUCUGUUGAGCGCUUCUGCCCAACGUACAGCGCUGCCAUACCUGUGCCUGCCUCUUAGGAAAAAGAGCAACCCAAAAGUAUACUGACAGUUACAGUGACGGGAAGACUCUCUGAAGAGCCCUUAAGAAGCCACAUGUUGGCAGCUGAAUUUCAAUCCAUCCCAAAUCUCCACAGCUUCCUGCUAGAAGAGGAUGAAAUUGACCACAUGCUCUCAAAAUUCAUCUCAGUCUGAAAAGGCAGGUUAACUGCAAAUCCAUUUGGGGAAAAAAUUAUAGCAAAAAAAAAAAAUAUAUAUAUA